GGGGUUGUGGCUUAGCGGUAGAGUGCUCGCCUUGCCCAUGUGAGACCCUGGGUUCAAUCCUCAGCACCACA
rnacentral:tRNA from 1 species